rnacentral:lncRNA from 1 species
CCAUCAUCAGUUUCUUGUUUUAGGAGAUACUGCAGUUGCAUUUGAGUUCUUUAAGUGGCAGGCCAGAGGAUGCCUUUACAAUAAUAGUCCAGUUACAGUGGAUAAACACAGACUUCAGGGUAAAACUUAGUGUCUCCUUUUACUAUUGAAGUUCUGAAGCACUAAUAAAAUCGUUUUCUUUCUUCCCCAAGUCCCUACCUUAUGAUCAGCCAGUGAUUUAAGCUCUGGAGAAAAUUUGGCUCAUUAAUUUAUAGGAUAGCGUUCAUCUUGGCACAUUCUUCUUUUCCUUGAAAAGUGACACCAAUAGUUAUUUUCAAUCUCCCUUGAAAACAAUGAAAAUGACAACCAUGUGUCUUUUUUUUUAUCUUUUAAAUGCAAUGAUUAGUGAAAUUCCUUCUUUAACUAGCCUGUUAUUAUCCCCGAGCAAUGGAAUAACCUGGGUUAAGUUAUUAAAACAAGCCAUCACCAUGAUGCACAUAAUAAUCAUGGAUUUAUAAGGUUGACCUCUAGAAAAUUCCUUGAUUUUGGAGCCAACAAAAAUGGUAAACUGGUGUAGGUCAAACUAAGAUGAUUAAUUUUAAAAGUUAAGAGGGUAAAACUUGAUCUGACAGUAUACAACAUACCACCACGAAGACUAUCUUCACAUUAAGCUAGAAUUAGAAAUCCUCACAUCUGGGCAGUAGAUCUGACAGCAAAGCCCUAAGUGCCCGCCAUCUGGGUAAUUAAUACAAGAGAAGAACGUGGACAAGGUCGGAACUGCAGUGUCCCAAAAUGAAUGCCUGUGUGCCUCUUUCCAAGGGCUCACUACUCAUCUUCAGCCUGUCUUCUCUAAACAGCUUCUGUUAAUUCACCAAAAUCUCAGACCACAUAGCCAAAUUUAUUUUUCAAAAGAAGUUGGAGGGCUGGGGCUUGGUUCAGUGGCAGGGCUCUUGCCUAUCACAUGUGAGACACUGGGUUCAAUCCUUAGCACCACAUAAAAAUAAACAAAUAAGCCAGGUACGGUGAUACAUGCCUGUAACCCCAGCGCCUCUGGAGCCUGCAAGGAGCUUCAACUGCAAGGAGCUAAGCAACUCAGUGAGACCCUGUCUCUAAAUAAAAUACAAAAAGGGGCUGGGGAUCUGUCCCAUUGGUCAAAUGCCCCUGAGUUCAAUCCCUGAAACCUAAAUAAAUAAAUAAAUAAAAGCAUUCUGUCCAUCUAUAACUACAAAAAAUUUCAUAAUAAAAAAGUUGGAAAUCUGGAUUUUUCAGUGAAAUUUCCUGACUUUUAAUUUAUAUCUGACUGGCCAAUCUCAUUUUUACUCCUGAUAUUUAUUACAUGAUAAAUUAAAAAUUCAAAUAUUACUUACCAUAUAGACCAGUGUUCUCAAAAGUGAGAUGGAAUGCAUAUACCCAG